UGAAUUGCGUUAAGAAUCACGAAUUACAGAUAUUAUGAGUGACAUGUUUUCGAUUGCAUAUUGCACCGUUGGGUCUUACCCAUCGGUAUAUCCAGCUCAGGGUGUGUUGACAGAAAGUGAACACUACAUGUAUUCACUAGACUCGUUGUACCGUCGUGUACAACGAAAAAGUAUCUUUAUGGGAAGCUUUUGGAUGUUCAAAGAAGAUUCUAGGAACAUUCAACUGUGAUCCAUUUGAAUUCACCUGAGCUGUGUAUGACUACCUGCUGAACUUAA
rnacentral:misc_RNA from 1 species